rnacentral:rRNA from 1 species
GACGAACGCUGGCGGCGUGCUUAACACAUGCAAGUCGAACGGAAAGGCCCUGCUUUUGUGGGGUGCUCGAGUGGCGAACGGGUGAGUAACACGUGAGUAACCUGCCCUUGACUUUGGGAUAACUUCAGGAAACUGGGGCUAAUACCGGAUAGGAGCUCCUGCUGCAUGGUGGGGGUUGGAAAGUUUCGGCGGUUGGGGAUGGACUCGCGGCUUAUCAGCUUGUUGGUGGGGUAGUGGCUUACCAAGGCUUUGACGGGUAGCCGGCCUGAGAGGGUGACCGGCCACAUUGGGACGGAGAUACGGCCCAGACUCAUACGGGAGGAAGCAGUGGGGAAUAGUGCACAAUGGGCGGAAGCCUGAUGCAGCAACGCCGCGUGCGGGAUGACGGCCUUCGGGUUGUAAACCGCUUUCGCCUGUGACGAAGCGUGAGUGACGGUAAUGGGUAAAGAAGCACCGGCUAACUACGUG